rnacentral:rRNA from 1 species
AACGUAGGAGGCAAGCGUUAUCCGGAGUUACUGGGCGUAAAGCGCGUGUAGGUGGAUUGGUAAGUUACUUAUAAAAGCUCCUGGCUAAACUAGGAGAGGUUGGGUGAUACUGCCAGUCUUGAAUAGAGGAGAGGUUGACGGAAUUCCGCGUGUAGUGAUGAAAUGCGUAGAGAUGCGGAAGAACACCAGUGGCGAAGGCGGUCAACUGGCCUCAUAUUGACACUCAGACGCGAAGGCAUGGGUAGCGAACGGG